UACGUAGGGGGCUAGCGUUAUCCGGAUUUACUGGGCGUAAAGGGUGCGUAGGUGGUCUUUCAAGUCGGUGGUUAAAGGCUACGGCUCAACCGUAGUUAGCCUCCGAAACUGGAAGACUUGAGUGCAGGAGAGGAAAGUGGAAUUCCCAGUGUAGCGGUGAAAUGCGUAGAUAUUGGGAGGAACACCAGUAGCGAAGGCGGCUUUCUGGACUGCAACUGACACUGAGGCACGAAAGCGUGGGUAGCAAACAGG
rnacentral:rRNA from 1 species